GGCAGUUUGGUGUAGUGGUCGCAUGGGUACCUUCGGACACUGCGUGCUAAUUGUUAACGGUCUAUGAAUCAUUCUCAAUUAGAAGCCACACUGUCUACCGGGGGUACCAAGGACUGGGUUCGAUUCCCAGAGCUGGCU